rnacentral:rRNA from 1 species
CCUACGGGUGACAGCAGUGAGGAAUAUUGGUCAAUGGGCGAGAGCCUGAACCAGCCAAGUCGCGUGAAGGAUGAAGGAUCUAGGUUUUGUAAACUUCUUUUGUAUGGGAAUAAAGUGUGGCACUUGUUCCUUUUUGUAUGUACCAUAUGAAUAAGCAUCGGCUAACUCCGUGCCAGCAGCCGCGGUAAUACGGAGGAUGCGAGCGUUAUCCGGAUUUAUUGGGUUUAAAGGGUGCGUAGGUGGUUAAUUAAGUCAGCGGUUAAAGUUUGUGGCUCAACCAUAAAAUUGCCGUUGAAACUGGUGGACUGGAGUAGAUGAGAGGGAGGCGGAAUGCGUGGUGUAGCGGUGAAAUGCAUAGAUAUCACGCAGAACUCCGAUUGCGAAGGCAGCUUACUGAACUAUAACUGACACUGAAGCACGAAAGCGUGGGGAUCAAACAGGAUUAGAUACCCGGGUAGUC